rnacentral:lncRNA from 1 species
AAAAUACAGCAAUGCCAGGCAGCCCCAGCUGCCUUCUAACCCCAAGCUCUUCCCAGGGCUACCCAGGAGCUGCUGGAGACCGCGGGAGGCUGGGACGCAGGGGAGACAAGGGAGAAAGGGGAGCUCAGGGUCCACCAGGAUUUCCAGGAAAAGCUGGUCCAAAGGCCCUGCCAGGUCCUCCUGGUCCUCGUGGUGCUCCAGGCUCCCAGGUAGGGCUCUCCUUGCUCCCUGCAUUCCUG